ACUCUUAACCCGGCUUAAGCAUUUUGGGUGGUGGCAAGGCCCAAGAGGUUAAGAGAGUUAAGCGUGCUAGGACGGGAGUAGUCCUAGGAUGGGUGACCUCCUGGAAAGUUGGGGCGUCACAACGAUCUUCUCAAAAACACGAUAAAUACUCCUCUUUUCCUGAAAGAUAAUACAAGGGUUUGUCUCUUUAUCUAUUUUUACACUAAGAAAUCAGAAUAAAAUUUAUUGAUUUCGAUUGUUAUUAUAUAUGUAAUAGAAAUUGAAUUCUAAUUUCUAUUCUAUUCUUGGAUGAAAAUGAUUGAAUGCAUUUAUAGUAAAAUCCGGCUUUAAUUAAAUUCCGAAUUAGUCCAUUAUAAAUAAACCACUCAAAAUCGUGAUUUUGUACAAACUCCUUCCUUUUCAUCGCUCUCAUCUUUCUUAUCCAAACUUUCCUUCCUCAAAUUUCUAUAUAUCCAUUCUGAUUUUCAUUCCAAUAAUAAACCAAGCAUUUUAGGUAAUUCGUCAUUCUAUUUUUCAUUACAAUGUAAUUCAAUUUUAAUUUAUUUACCAUUUCAAAUUCCAUUCAUAAAUUAAACAUGCUCAAAACAAUAUUCUAAUCCCACAUUUUAGCCCCCAUGCA
rnacentral:lncRNA from 1 species